UACGGAGGGGGCGAGUGUUGUUCGGAAUUACUGGGCGUAAAGGGCGCGUAGGCGGCCUCUGCAAGUCGACUGUGAAAUCUCCGGGCUUAACCCGGAAAGGUCAGCCGAUACUGCAGGGCUAGAGUGCAGAAGGGGCAACUGGAAUUCCUGGUGUAGCGGUGAAAUGCGCAGAUAUCAGGAGGAACACCGGUGGCGAAGGCGGGUCUCUGGGCCGUAACUGACGCUGAGGAGCGAAAGCAUGGGGAGCGAACAGG
rnacentral:rRNA from 1 species